GGGGCUGAUUCUGGAUUCGACGGGAUUUGCGAAACCCAAGGUGCAUGCCGAGGGGCGGUUGGCCUCGUAAAAAGCCGCAAAAAAAUAGUCGCAAACGACGAAAACUACGCUUUAGCAGCUUAAUAACCUGCUUAGAGCCCUCUCUCCCUAGCCUCCGCUCUUAGGACGGGGAUCAAGAGAGGUCAAACCCAAAAGAGAUCGCGUGGAUGCCCUGCCUGGGGUUGAAGCGUUAAAACGAAUCAGGCUAGUCUGGUAGUGGCGUGUCCGUCCGCAGGUGCCAGGCGAAUGUAAAGACUGACUAAGCAUGUAGUACCGAGGAUGUAGGAAUUUCGGACGCGGGUUCGACUCCCGCCAGCUCCACCA
rnacentral:tmRNA from 2 species